UCUCUCUUUUAACCUUCCUUCUCUCUCUUCUCCAGGGGUUUUUUCUAUUUCAGCUUCUUCAAUUUUCCCUGCCUCGACUUUCUCUGUUGCUUCUUCAAAUUUUAGAUUCUUCUGUCCUAAUUUUCCUGAGUUCAAACUGCCCAAUGUUGUUCUUAUUUGACUGAAUCAUUUGAUGGAUUGCUUAUAAUUUGUUGCAGGUAAGUUUGGGCUUUGGGAAUUCGAUUAUUGUUCCAUUGUCUUCUCGUUUCUGGGUUUCGGUCUGGGCUUUCUCUGGAGCUUUUUGGUGGAUAGUUGAAGGGUCAAAAUCUGUAAUCAUCCAGCCGAUGCCCAUUUGAUGUUAUGUAUAUGCUUACUCUUAUGGUGUGUUUUUCUCUGUCAUAAAUUGAUUUUUGUCUGAAGGGUCACAAUCUGAUUUUGUUUAUUUCUAUUGCAUUAUCUUGGUAAUCUGUACUGUUGAAUUGGAAGCUGGAUACAGCCAAACUGUGGCAUUGAGCGGGCCUGUAAUUAUUGGAAGUACAGGAAGGAACAAUGCUCUUGAUACUCUUUUAUAUAUAUAUAUAUAUAAGUAGUACUUGACCCAAUAGCACGCACGCCUAUCAUUGAUCAAAGGAAUUGAACUUUACUCUACUUCAUUGUUUCUGGUUUGGUUGUUUCUUGACAAUGGAAUGAUUUUAUAAGCUAUACCAUUUCCUUGUGAAUUUUACUAUGUCUUUUUUAAUGUCUGUCUGCUUAACAAACGCUACUGUUGGAUGUUAUAUUGAAGUAUUCGACAACUUGGUUCUCCAAUGUUUGUUUUGUUUGUAUUGUAGCUCUAUUUCUAGUGGUAUGGAAGAACACUAAUUCCUUAGUUAUUCAAAUCUUAAGGGAGACGUUGAACCUAGCGAAUUCCCUGUCCUUCUCCCAAGAACCCCUUGCACAUCUAUGAGUAACUUGCCAUAGUGCCAUCCCCAAUCCCAAGGAAACGGAGAAACGUGAAACAACACCGACCCUUCACCGUGGUAGACUAGCAAGGCUACAAGCCAUCUUCUCUCUGUAAGAAACAAAAGCCUUUAAAAACAAAUUGCCCUCGCAAAACAACAUCCACCAUGUAAGAUCCCACAUUAGUUGGGGAGAAGAACGAAGCAUUCUUUAUAAGGGUGUGGAAAUCUCUCCCUAGCAGACGCGUUUUAGAAACCUUGAGGGCAAGCUUGAAAGGGAAAACCCAUCUACUAGUGGUGGACUUGGGCUGACCAUAUCCUUUGAAGAUAAUCUUUGCUAUAGGUCAAUAG